rnacentral:rRNA from 1 species
GAUGAACGCUGGCGGCGUGCCUAAUACAUGCAAGUCGAGCGAACAGACGAGGAGCUUGCUCCUCUGACGUUAGCGGCGGACGGGUGAGUAACACGUGGAUAACCUACCUAUAAGACUGGGAUAACUUCGGGAAACCGGAGCUAAUACCGGAUAAUAUAUUGAACCGCAUGGUUCAAUAGUGAAAGACGGUUUUGCUGUCACUUAUAGAUGGAUCCGCGCCGCAUUAGCUAGUUGGUAAGGUAACGGCUUACCAAGGCAACGAUGCGUAACCGACCUGAGAGGGUGAUCGGCCACACUGGAACUGAGACACGGUCCAGACUCCUACGGGAGGCAGCAGUAGGGAAUCUUCCGCAAUGGGCGAAAGCCUGACGGAGCAACGCCGCGUGAGUGAUGAAGGUCUUCGGAUCGUAAAACUCUGUUAUUAGGGAAGAACAAAUGUGUAAGUACCUAUGCACGUCUUGACGGUACCUAAUCAAAAAGCCACGGCUAACUACGUG